rnacentral:rRNA from 1 species
UAGAUGCGAGAGUAGAGCAUAUCAAUAAGCGGAGGAAAAGAAACUAACAAGGAUUCCCUUAGUAACGGCGAGUGAAGCGGGAAGAGCUCAAAUUUGAAAUCUUCAAGGUUCUACCUUGACGAAUUGUAGUUUAUAGAAGUGUUUUCUGUUAGUGGAGUGGCAAAAGUUCUUUGGAAUAGGACAUCAUAGAGGGUGAGAAUCCCGUAUUUGGUCAUUCCUCCUAGCGUUGUGAUACACUUUCAACGAGUCGGAUUGUUUGGGAAUGCAGUCCAAAAUGGGUGGUAAAUUUCAUCUAAAGCUAAAUAUUGGCGAGAGACCGAUAGCGAACAAGUACCGUGAGGGAAAGAUGAAAAGAACUUUGAAAAGAGAGUUAAACAGUACGUGAAAUUGUCAAAAGGGAGGCGUUUGACACCAGUGUUGUUUUUCCGAAAAUCAAUUACGAAUGUUUUAUUCUUGAGGAGUUAUGACUUCAUCGGCUUGCUCCUUUCUUUAUGAAACUUUCUUAAUGCACUUUUCGGUUAACAAGUCAACAUCAAUUUCUUUUGUUGUAAAAGGGUAUGAGGAAGGUGGCUUUCUUUUCGGAGAAAGUGUUUAUAGCCUUGUGCCUCUGCAAUCGGAGAGAUUGAGGUCUGCAGCGUAGAUCCUUCGGGGUUAGAUAGCAGUUUGUGCUAAGUUAUAGCCUUUUCAUAGACAACUUGUUGACUAUGAUUCAGUCAUGUAGCUUACUCGCAGUAUGUCAUUUUACCUACGCUUAGGAUGUUGACGAGACUGUCGAUCUC